UGGGUAACCUGCCCUUGAAGUAGGGGAUAACACUUGGAAACAGGUGCUAAUACCGUAUAACAACCAAAACCACCUGGUUUUGGUUUAAAAGACGGCUUCGGCUGUCACUUUAGGAUGGACCCGCGGCGUAUUAGCUUGUUGGUAAGGUAACGGCCUACCAAGGCGAUGAUACGUAGCCGACCUGAGAGGGUAAUCGGCCACAUUGGGACUGAGACACGGCCCAAACUCCUACGGGAGGCAGCAGUAGGGAAUCUUCCACAAUGGACGAAAGUCUGAUGGAGCAACGCCGCGUGAGUGAUGAAGGGUUUCGGCUCGUAAAACUCUGUUGUUGGAGAAGAACAGGUGUCAGAGUAACUGUUGACAUCUUGACGGUAUCCAACCAGAAAGCCACGGCUAACUACGUGCCAGCAGCCGCGGUAAUACGUAGGUGGCAAGCGUUGUCCGGAUUUAUUGGGCGUAAAGCGAGCGCAGGCGGUUUUUUAGGUCUGAUGUGAAAGCCUUCGGCUUAACCGGAGAAGUGCAUCGGAAACCGGGAGACUUGAGUGCAGAAGAGGACAGUGGAACUCCAUGUGUAGCGGUGAAAUGCGUAGAUAUAUGGAAGAACACCAGUGGCGAAGGCGGCUGUCUGGUCUGUAACUGACGCUGAGGCUCGAAAGCAUGGGUAGCGAACAGGAUUAGAUACCCUGGUAGUCCAUGCCGUAAA
rnacentral:rRNA from 1 species